GAUAUGCGGAUGGCCCUGCCCACCGCCUCUGCAGCUGUGCCUGUCCCCACCCCAGCCCUGCUCUGGUCACAGGGGCUGCCCAGGCCUCCAAAUCGUCCCCGCGUCACCUCUCCAAGCCGUUCCUCUUCCCCCUCGCCCACGGAAGGCAAAACUGGCGUGGCUUCCUCCAGGCAGCCCUCCUCCCCGCGCCCCUGCCCGAGGCCGGUUAGACCGCCCGCCUGACGCCCGGCUCCCCGCACCGCGGCUGUGCUCCUCCCGCUCUGGAAAUCGGUGUUUAAAUCAUUGCUGUAGUGGCCUUAGGGUUUCUGGAUUCAAAGCCUAGCUCUGCUAGUAACUGAAGUCUGCCCUCCCGCUCCCCCAAGCCUCAGUUUCCCCAUCUGUAAAAUAGCAACAGAGAAUUCCAUGAAAUAAUUCAUGCAGCGUGGAUUCAUGGGAUUCAGAGGCAGCGUGGGCCUUGGCGGAGGCCGAAACAUCCAGCCCGGCUUCCUGAUGCUUCCUGCUACCCCCACUCAGACAACAGUGCAGAGGGGAGACCGAGACCCCGAGAGAUGAGGCCUCGCUGUCCCCGAGCCGCUGUCGCAGUCACAGGCUGAAGACCGGAAGACUCUGCACGCACAAUGAAGCCGGGUGCAUGGUGCGCACCUGUGAUCCCAGCACUCUGGGAGGCUGAGGCAGGAGGAUCUCAACUUCCAGCUCAGCCUGGGCGAUUUAGCUAAGUGUCAAAGAAAAAAAUAAAAAGAGGGCGUGAAGCGUGGGAGGCUGUGCCCCUCUGCCCCGCUCUGGGUCCUGGUAGCUGUCACCUGGCUGUCUUACCCGCCUCGUGGUCUUCAGAGCCGGAUCGGCACUGACAAGGCCAGGCCCUUUGUCCCCCUGCCUUCCCCCCAGCCCCCGCCUCCCACAGCUGUGUCGCCCACACGCAGCACUCUGCCCUCUGGAAUUUAUUUUAAGGUCUUGGCUUGUUUAUUUAUUUUAUUUAGAGAUUUCUCGGUGCUUUGUGGGGAGGAGAAUUCGAAUGGGGUGAUUAUGAAAUACUAUUUCACCUCGCUGUUCAUUCACAACAAACAAAGAGAAAUGAUUGGUGAUUAAAAAUGCAUUCUCCCUGC